rnacentral:lncRNA from 1 species
CCGUUCAAGGGGGCGACGAGAUUGUUGGUACAAAAGGAGUAGUCAAGAAAGUUGAAUUUGUUCGAAUCAUAGCCGAUGCAUUGUAUUCUCUUGGCUAUAAGAAGACGGGAGCAUUUCUAGAGGAAGAGUCGGGGAUACCUUUGCAUUCCUCUCAAGUACAUUUAUUCAUGCAGCAAAUCCUUGACGGGAGAUGGGACGAAAGUGUAGCCACAUUAUGUAAAAUUGGGAUACCUUUGCACUCCUCUCAAGUACAUUUAUUCAUGCAGCAAAUCCUUGAUGGCAGAUGGGACGGAAGUGUAGCCACAUUACGUAAAAUCGGUCUCGUGGAUGAAAAAAUUGUGAAGUUGGCGUCUUUUGUGAUAUUG